rnacentral:rRNA from 1 species
UUAAGCGACUAAGCGUACACGGUGGAUGCCCUGGCAGUCAGAGGCGAUGAAGGGCGUGCUAAUCUGCGAUAAGCGCCGGUAAGGUGAUAUGAACCGUUAUAACCGGCGAUACCCGAAUGGGGAAACCCAGUGUGACUCGUCACACUAUCAUUAACUGAAUCCAUAGGUUAAUGAGGCGAACCGGGGGAACUGAAACAUCUAAGUACCCCGAGGAAAAGAAAUCAACCGAGAUUCCCCCAGUAGCGGCGAGCGAACGGGGAGGAGCCCAGAGCCUGAAUCAGCAUGUGUGUUAGUGGAAGCGUCUGGAAAGGCGCGCGAUACAGGGUGACAGCCCCGUACACAAAAGCGCAUGUGCUGUGAGCUCGAUGAGUAGGGCGGGACACGUGGUAUCCUGUCUGAAUAUGGGGGGACCAUCCUCCAAGGCUAAAUACUCCUGACUGACCGAUAGUGAACCAGUACCGUGAGGGAAAGGCGAAAAGAACCCCGGCGAGGGGAGUGAAAAAGAACCUGAAACCGUGUACGUACAAGCAGUGGGAGCACAGGUUUACCUGUGUGACUGCGUACCUUUUGUAUAAUGGGUCAGCGACUUAUAUUCUGUAGCAAGGUUAACCGAAUAGGGGAGCCGUAGGGAAACCGAGUCUUAACCGGGCGUUAAGUUGCAGGGUAUAGACCCGAAACCCGGUGAUCUAGCCAUGGGCAGGUUGAAGGUUGGGUAACACUAACUGGAGGACCGAACCGACUAAUGUUGAAAAAUUAGCGGAUGACCUGUGGCUGGGGGUGAAAGGCCAAUCAAACCGGGAGAUAGCUGGUUCUCCCCGAAAGCUAUUUAGGUAGCGCCUCGUGAAUUCAUCUCCGGGGGUAGAGCACUGUUUCGGCUAGGGGGCCAUCCCGGCUUACCAACCCGAUGCAAACUGCGAAUACCGGAGAAUGUUAUCACGGGAGACACACGGCGGGUGCUAACGUCCGUCGUGAAGAGGGAAACAACCCAGACCGCCAGCUAAGGUCCCAAAGUCAUGGUUAAGUGGGAAACGAUGUGGGAAGGCCCAGACAGCCAGGAUGUUGGCUUAGAAGCAGCCAUCAUUUAAAGAAAGCGUAAUAGCUCACUGGUCGAGUCGGCCUGCGCGGAAGAUGUAACGGGGCUAAACCAUGCACCGAAGCUGCGGCAGCGACGCUGAUGCGUUGUUGGGUAGGGGAGCGUUCUGUAAGCCUGUGAAGGUGGCCUGUGAGGGUUGCUGGAGGUAUCAGAAGUGCGAAUGCUGACAUAAGUAACGAUAAAGCGGGUGAAAAGCCCGCUCGCCGGAAGACCAAGGGUUCCUGUCCAACGUUAAUCGGGGCAGGGUGAGUCGACCCCUAAGGCGAGGCCGAAAGGCGUAGUCGAUGGGAAACGGGUUAAUAUUCCCGUACUUGGUGUUACUGCGAAGGGGGGACGGAGAAGGCUAUGUUGGCCGGGCGACGGUUGUCCCGGUUUAAGCGUGUAGGUGUGUGUUCCAGGUAAAUCCGGUUCACUUUAACACUGAGGCGUGAUGACGAGGCACUACGGUGCUGAAGCAACAAAUGCCCUGCUUCCAGGAAAAGCCUCUAAGCAUCAGGUAACAUCAAAUCGUACCCCAAACCGACACAGGUGGUCAGGUAGAGAAUACCAAGGCGCUUGAGAGAACUCGGGUGAAGGAACUAGGCAAAAUGGUGCCGUAACUUCGGGAGAAGGCACGCUGACACGUAGGUGAAGUGAUUUACUCAUGGAGCUGAAGUCAGUCGAAGAUACCAGCUGGCUGCAACUGUUUAUUAAAAACACAGCACUGUGCAAACACGAAAGUGGACGUAUACGGUGUGACGCCUGCCCGGUGCCGGAAGGUUAAUUGAUGGGGUCAGCGCAAGCGAAGCUCCUGAUCGAAGCCCCGGUAAACGGCGGCCGUAACUAUAACGGUCCUAAGGUAGCGAAAUUCCUUGUCGGGUAAGUUCCGACCUGCACGAAUGGCGUAAUGAUGGCCAGGCUGUCUCCACCCGAGACUCAGUGAAAUUGAACUCGCUGUGAAGAUGCAGUGUACCCGCGGCAAGACGGAAAGACCCCGUGAACCUUUACUAUAGCUUGACACUGAACAUUGAGCCUUGAUGUGUAGGAUAGGUGGGAGGCUUUGAAGCGUGGACGCCAGUCUGCAUGGAGCCGGCCUUGAAAUACCACCCUUUAAUGUUUGAUGUUCUAACGUGGACCCGUGAUCCGGGUUGCGGACAGUGUCUGGUGGGUAGUUUGACUGGGGCGGUCUCCUCCUAAAGAGUAACGGAGGAGCACGAAGGUUGGCUAAUCCUGGUCGGACAUCAGGAGGUUAGUGCAAUGGCAUAAGCCAGCUUGACUGCGAGCGUGACGGCGCGAGCAGGUGCGAAAGCAGGUCAUAGUGAUCCGGUGGUUCUGAAUGGAAGGGCCAUCGCUCAACGGAUAAAAGGUACUCCGGGGAUAACAGGCUGAUACCGCCCAAGAGUUCAUAUCGACGGCGGUGUUUGGCACCUCGAUGUCGGCUCAUCACAUCCUGGGGCUGAAGUAGGUCCCAAGGGUAUGGCUGUUCGCCAUUUAAAGUGGUACGCGAGCUGGGUUUAGAACGUCGUGAGACAGUUCGGUCCCUAUCUGCCGUGGGCGCUGGAGAACUGAGGGGGGCUGCUCCUAGUACGAGAGGACCGGAGUGGACGCAUCACUGGUGUUCGGGUUGUCAUGCCAAUGGCACUGCCCGGUAGCUAAAUGCGGAAGAGAUAAGUGCUGAAAGCAUCUAAGCACGAAACUUGCCCCGAGAUGAGUUCUCCCUGAGACUUAGAGUCUCCUGAAGGAACGUUGAAGACGACGACGUUGAUAGGCCGGGUGUGUAAGCGCAGCGAUGCGUUGAGCUAACCGGUACUAAUGAACCGUGAGGCUUAACCUU